rnacentral:rRNA from 1 species
GAUGAACGCUAGCGGCAUGCCUAACACAUGCAAGUCGAACGAGACCUUCGGGUCUAGUGGCGCACGGGUGCGUAACGCGUGGGAAUCUGCCCUUGGGUUCGGAAUAACAGCGAGAAAUUGCUGCUAAUACCGGAUGAUGACGUAAGUCCAAAGAUUUAUCGCCCAAGGAUGAGCCCGCGUAGGAUUAGCUAGUUGGUGAGGUAAAGGCUCACCAAGGCGACGAUCCUUAGCUGGUCUGAGAGGAUGAUCAGCCACACUGGGACUGAGACACGGCCCAGACUCCUACGGGAGGCAGCAGUGGGGAAUAUUGGACAAUGGGCGAAAGCCUGAUCCAGCAAUGCCGCGUGAGUGAUGAAGGCCUUAGGGUUGUAAAGCUCUUUACCCGGGAUGAUAAUGACAGUACCGGGAGAAUAAGCUCCGGCUAACUCCGUGCCAGCAGCCGCGGUAAU